rnacentral:rRNA from 1 species
UACGUAGGGACCAAGCGUUGUUCGGAUUUACUGGGCGUAAAGGGCGCGUAGGCGGCGCGGUAAGUCACUUGUGAAAUCUCUGAGCUUAACUCAGAACGGCCAAGUGAUACUGCAGUGCUAGAGUGUGGAAGGGGCAAUCGGGAAUUCUUGGUGUAGCGGUGAAAUGCGUAGAUAUCAAGAGGAACACCUGAGGUGAAGACGGGUUGCUGGGCCGAACACUGACGCU